UACGAAGGGUGCAAGCGUUACUCGGAAUUACUGGGCGUAAAGGGUGCGUAGGUGGUUGUUUAAGUCUGCUGUGAAAGCCCCGGGCUCAACCUGGGAAUGGCAGUGGAUACUGGACAGCUAGAGUGCGGUAGAGGGUAGUGGAAUUCCCGGUGUAGCAGUGAAAUGCGUAGAGAUCGGGAGGAACACCAGUGGCGAAGGCGGCUACCUGGACCAGCACUGACACUGAAGCACGAAAGCGUGGGUAGCAAACAGG
rnacentral:rRNA from 1 species